rnacentral:lncRNA from 1 species
CGCGCGGCGUGGGAUGGGGAGACCCUUCGCCCUGUCCGCCCGCCUCCCUCGCUGUCGGCCCCGGCGUGCUGGGCGGCACAUCCCCGCGGAGAACCGCGCGCUUGGAACCAUCGCGGCUUCGGCCGUGGGAAGAAGGAAGGCGGUCCCCUGCUCGCACGGAACGCUGCGCAGCCGGGCCGCUGUCUGUCCCCUCGGCGGUGGAUGUCCUGCCCUCUCGCUUUCCCCCACGGGUGACCCCACGCUGCCGGCUGCGGUUGUGUUUUUGGGAGAGUCCUUCUGGCUCUGCACGGCACUUGCAAGCAAGUCCCAGGUGGGCUCAGUCGCUGCAGGCUGAGCAGCCCUGUCCAGCAGCCCGGCAGAGGGGAAGCUGCUGCCGCUCUUGGCUGCAGGUCCAGCUCUCAGCGAGGCUGAGAACGUGCUCCCCAAAGGCGGGCGCAGAACAGGAGUGCAGCGCAUACCUGUGGCCAUCCCACCGAGAGGCACCAGCCGGCUCACCGAGUGUCCGGGCAAACAGCACGAACAGCUCCGCGAUAUUCUCCUCUCCGGAGCACUUAGCACGAUGGUCCGCUACUGGGAAACAUCCUCACAGUAAAGGAAUGUUUUCCCCCGUGGCAGCCAGGGCACGCCGCUGGCUCCUGUUGAGCCCGCUGUCACCAGCACCCCAGGUCCCUUCCUGCAGGGCUGCUCUCCAGCCCAUCCAGCUGGAUCUUCACGACAGCCUGCAUGCACACUGGCACACCUAUGCUGCUCCAGGUGCCACAGCACUGACACGUGAGCCCAUGCACGCACUCCCAUACCAGAGAGCCCAGGAAAACAGCUAGAAUUGGAGUUCAGAAAGGAGGCAGGACCAGCUGUGUUGAUCACAGGGCACAGCCAGGCAAGCAUCCUGACCAGCAAACUAAUUGUGCACUGCUGGCCCUUUCAGUCCCCUUUUCUCACAUUUUUCCACAUUUGUUCUCCCCAGGCCACCUCAGUUUGUGGCCUUUCCCACAUUCGAUUCCUGCCCUGAGCAGCUCUCCAUAAGCUCUGCCCAAUUCUGAAAUGCUCUUCCCCUGCAUUCCACAUCAUGUCUCAGGUUCCUGGCAAAGUCCUGAGGAUGCUUGGGCUUUGACUCCUCAGGAUGGGUUUUACGGCUUUACUGGGACAGCUCUGGGAGGGCCCGGGGCAGGGUGCCUGUUCUGCCAAGUCCCUCACCUGAGUUUGCCUGGCUUUGUGUCCCUCU